CCUGACAGCUCAGUUGGUAAAGAAUCUGCCUGCAAUGCAGGAGACCCUGGUUUGAUUCCUGGGUCUGGA
rnacentral:tRNA from 1 species